CCUACGGGUGGCAGCAGUGAGGAAUAUUGGUCAAUGGGCGCGAGCCUGAACCAGCCAAGUAGCGUGAAGGAUGACUGCCCUAUGGGUUGUAAACUUCUUUUAUAUGGGAAUAAAGUGUUCCACGUGUGCCUUUUUGUAUGUACCAUAUGAAUAAGGAUCGGCUAACUCCGUGCCAGCAGCCGCGGUAAUACGGAGGAUCCGAGCGUUAUCCGGAUUUAUUGGGUUUAAAGGGAGCGUAGGUGGGUUGUUAAGUCAGUUGUGAAAGUUUGCGGCUCAACCGUAAAAUUGCAGUUGAUACUGGCAGUCUUGAGUACAGUAGAGGUGGGCGGAAUGCGUGGUGUAGCGGUGAAAUGCUUAGAUAUCACGAAGAACUCCGAUUGCGAAGGCAGCUUACUGGACUGCAACUGACAUUGAGGCUCGAAAGUGUGGGUAUCAAACAGGAUUAGAUACCCUUGUAGUC
rnacentral:rRNA from 1 species